rnacentral:snRNA from 1 species
AUACAUACCUGGUCCCGGGGCCUCGUUGAUCACCGAGGACGAGCCCCCCGGCCAGGCGCGGGCAUUGCACUGCGCUCGCGUUGACCUCUGACACUACCCCAAACUGGGGCAGAUGGUGCCUGCAAAUUGCUUAAAUCCGGUUCAACUCAAGAGAGGGUGCCACCGCU